rnacentral:rRNA from 1 species
AAAGGGCACUCUAAUGGGACUGCCGGUGACAAACCGGAGGAAGGUGGGGAUGACGUCAAGUCCUCAUGGCCCUUAUAGGUGGGGCUACACACGUCAUACAAUGGCUGGUACAGAGGGUUGCCAACCCGCGAGGGGGAGCUAAUCCCAUAAAGCCAGUCGUAGUCCGGAUCGCAGUCUGCAACUCGACUGCGUGAAGUCGGAAUCGCUAGUAAUCGCGGAUCAGAAUGUCGCGGUGAAUACGUUCCCGGGCCUU